CGGCAGCAGCAUCCCCGGACGGCGCCUCCGCGCCGGGGGCUCCGCGCUAGGAGGAAAAGGAUUUGUCAAUACUACAAUUCACUUGAACAUCAAGCUCUACAGAGACAGUAAGACAUCAGGAAAUGAUGGCAUCUUAGGAAAACAAGCAGAUUCGCUAAUGCUGACUUGGGCUUAAAAAAUCAACUAUGGAAGAUACUGAGGUACAUUUGCU